rnacentral:lncRNA from 1 species
UUUGUUGGGUUUUAGGGGUUGGGGCUGAUUUGAACUGCAGAUUUAGGGAGUUUCGUAGAUGAAUUGGACCAAGGUUCAAUUAAUAAAGUUGUAGCAGGGAUUUCGUUCUCCAACUUCUAAAAAGAGUUUUCUUGGUGUCCUGCUCAACUUUUUAAAGAUAAACCUUCCCUAAGGCGCUAGGUUGGGCUGGAAACCAAACUUAGCCGAUAUAGCUCAAGAAAAACUGAGUCAACCAGAUUAGGGAACUUGUCUUAAGAUUAAACUUGGCUCAAAUAAUCCAGGUCGUUACAAGGGCCUCCCCGACUGGCCCCCUGGCCGCCGUCUGCCGGCACACGUGCGGGCGAGAUGGCGAGAGGGGGAGCUUGUGGAUAUGAGAAGCCGGUGAAUGUUACCUUUGUGAGUGGUAGUGCAUGAUUUGUUUGUGAAUGAUUCAUUUCUGAUUGCGCUGUGUUGUUAAUCAAAUCGAACUCAUGUGUUGUCAAUCAGAGUCUUGUGCGAAUUGAUUGGUUGUGUGUUAGCAUGUCUCUUGCUUCAAUUUGUGAAGUGUUAAUUGUUUUGAUUGUUUCUGUGGUAGAGUUGGAGCUUGGUGGUACGGUGGUCGAGGCGGAGAUGUAGGGGGGCAGCAGCGCGAGUAGGCAGGAUGGUGGUGGUCCACUUUUUUUCUUUUUUGAAUCCUUUUAGUCCCGGUUGGUAGGUGGUUUUUAGUCCCGGGUGAAAUACCCGGAACUAAAGAGGAGGACCUUUAGUCUCGAAAGAUUAGUCGCAGUUGGAUUUUGGAGACCUAUGCAUCUCUCCAACCCGGAUUAAUGCUCAUCCGGGACUAAUGAUCAUUUUUCCACCAGUGGGUGAUAUGCUGAAAUAAAAGUCAAGUCCGG